AAAACGACGCUCUGAAUGAACUCCACCAUGCAGUUGGAUACGAGCUGGCUCCUGAGCAAGAACAAGAGUUCGAAAUUGUUAUUUAAAAGUAAGUUGUUUUUAUUUAUAUUAUACAUAGUGCUUUCUUAUCUCACUUAUCACCUCUUGCCUGACAUCUAGGGAGAACAGUUUAGGUAGAAUUGACUUAUCUAUGCAGUAUGAUUAAGGUCAGUUUAGGUAGGUAGUUAUCCCUUUGACAAGUAACAUUGUCUGAGAUUAUACUGCAGAACAAAACAAAAGUCUGGAUCGUUUACAUGAUUGACGAUGUGACUAGCGUGCUCAUGUCUUAUUACCUGAAACGUGUUGUACUGCUGUCGUCAGGAGCAAUCACAGCCGCGUGCAUGUCCAAAAUUUCAAAUCCAUAUACGGUAUCCCUCGCCCACACUUUCCACUGAAUUGUUUCAACAUGGAGCACUUUAAUAACGCCAACACGGAACGCUGGUUCGUGUUGCUCGCGUCGUAUUAGCCACGGCAACACGAUAAUUGUUUUCUUAGUUUUUUUUGUUCAAAACGGCAAAAAUGAAUGAGUAUCUUACACUUAGGGACCGGUCAUUAUUUAUGGCGGGGGGUGGCACCGAAGAGAAAAGGGUUGGGUAAACAAAAUUUUGAGUAACUAAAAGGUUGGGUAAAUGAAAAACAAAACAACUCAAGGGUUGGGUAAUAAAAACUUAUUGUCAUUUCCAAAGCAUGACUCACUUAAAUAUUUGAGACUGAAAAGCAAUGUCAACAGUCAUAUGUCAAUACAAUAUGUGAAUCAAUCAGAGUCACUAUCUUGAUCAUUUUCCGAUUUGUUUGGAGACAAAUGGUGUCUCCAAAGAAAGUACAUGUACAUACAAUAUGAAAGAUUAGUUAUCAAACUUGUGUCACAGAAGUGGUAAAGGACAUGUGUGACAACUGAAUGGUAUUCUUUUGUAAAGGUUUUGGCCAGGUGUGGGUAUUUAUUUUUUAAUUGCUAUUUGAGGUUGGGUAAUCAAACUUUUUGCUUUUUAAUAGUUGGGUCAGCAAAAUUUUUACCAGGAAAAACAUUUCUCUUCGGUGCCACCCCCCACAAUAAAUAAUGACCGGUCCCUUAUAACCACAGAACUAUCGAUUUCUAACAUAUAUAAAGUAGAUACGUUAUUUCGUUUUGUAUGCAUGGGCUUAAUAUAAUGCAAAAUUCAACACGAAACGCUUCGUAUAAAGAGUUUUAAAUGUUCGUAGAAAUUGACCGCGUUUUGCCGAUAAACUCUUCAACUUAUUAUUACUCGUACUUUGUAAUGCAAAAAAUGUAAAUCUUAGAGGUUGCUCCUGAAAAUAAUUGUCUUCUUUCUUUUAUAAAAAUUAAAACAAGUUAACUUUCGCAUAGAAUGAAAAGGAGUCAGAGCUGUACAUGCAUGUCAGGCCUUCAGGCGAAAUGUCCGAAAACUAGACAGCAAAGUCAUAUAUAAACAGUAACAAAAAAAACCCAACUUACUCUGUACUUUAGGAUUUCUCACAUCUUCUUUAAAAUUUGAAACAGGUGAUUUACAACUUAUUGUGUAAUAAGAUAUCCAAGCUUUCUGUCAUACAUUGUUUUUUUUUUAAUAUCUCCUUGCUUCACUCCUGGCAAACAGCUAUAUAUUUGAGCUCAUUGAGAUGACCACGCAUGCAUAGCCAUGCGCCCGCGACCAUUGAUGAACUUUAGACUUUGCUAAUGCUUUUCAUUUCCCGGGUGUAAAUAGCUGAGCGGAAUUAGUACCCUCGCCAUGGACUUCGCCCUACGCGCUACGCGCGUGGCUCAAUAAUUACAGAACGAUUUCUGUUUUACCUGCGUUUUUAAAGUUUUAGAAAGAAUUAUUUAUAAUAUAAUGAUCAAUUAGCUACAAAGAUAAAUAUAACAUUUUGUGUAGCCAGGAAUGUGGUUUCAUAAACGGCCAUUCUACAGCAAUUGAUGGCCAAUUAUAUGACAAACAAUCUACCUCAAUUGAUGAUAGGAAAUUUACGAUUGGGAUAUUUUUAGACCUUUCAAAAGCUUUUGAUACGGUAAACCAUGAGAUUCUGUUUACUAAACUAUAGAACAGGACGGUUUUCUUGGAUAUGUUCUAGACUGGAUAAAAAGUUACUUCAAUAUAAUAGGAAUCACUUCGUACAUGCAAUACAAUAAAUUAUGUUCUCAGCUAAAGGCAAUAAGCUGUUUUUCUUGCUUUAUAUAAACGAUAUAUGUAAUAUUUCUAAAACACUAAAAUUUAUUCUGUUUUCUGGUGAUACUGAUGUCUUUUAUUCACAUGAAAUCUUGAUUUACUGAUCAAAUCUCUGAAUAUUGAAAUUUGAAAAUUAUCGGCUUGGCUAAAAUUUAAUAAUCUGCAUGCAUGACUUGAAAUUGGUCAAAACUAAAUCAUAUUAUUCAAACCUAUAGAACAAACGUCAAUGUAGGCCUAUAUAUAACUACUGAGAUAUUUAAUGAUGGUCAUAUGUUACAUCAGGUUUAGGAAAUGACAUUUUGGGGAGUUGUGUUGGAUGAAAACCUCUCAUUGAAAUCACAUAUUUCGCACAUAUCAGUCAUUACAAGUAAUUAAAAAUCUCCAAAUAUCUAUAUAUAGAGGCAAUUUCUAGAUGCAGUUUCUAUCUAAGUCUUAAAUCAUCCCUAAAAACCUUAUUUUAAUAUGCUUUGGUCUAUUCUAAUCUUCGAAUCGUUAUUGCAAUUUGGCUUGGGCAUCUUCCAACCCAUCAAAUCUAUAUCGACUCGUUAUAUCUUCCAGAAACGCAUUGUUAGAAAAUUAAUUAAGCAAAUGUAAAUUUGAUUCUCACCGACACCGAUCGUUUGUUUAAUUAAGUAACUCCAACUGUUAAAGUUCCAUGAAAUUUGUAAACAGAAAUUGGGCAAUUCAUUUCUUUCAUGGAAAAAUAAUAUUCUCCCUGAUAACUUUAAUCAUACGUUUCUUUGUAAAGACCAAAUGCCUGGUCUUAAAAUAAGGAGUGUCAUUCAGAGCUCUUCGAAUUCUAUUUUGCAGAACUAGUCUUUAAUUCAUGCAUAUUAAGACAAUAUUCUGUGCGAUUUCAAGGACCAAAAUAAUUUAAUUCUUUACUUGUCUGCAAAGUUUUAAGUGUAAAUUGAAAUAAUUUCUUUGGUCCAAUUAUGGAUAAAAUGCGUAUCUAAUUGAUCCAGAACUCUUUUGAGUUAUAGUGAAUGCAUGCUAAAUAACUAAAUGAUGUAUUAAUUGAUUUGCUUAUUUUCUGUUGACUUGCAUACCUACAUAUAUAUUAUAAGGCAAUCUGCCGGAAUUCAAAAUAGCUAUCUUUAUAGUUUCUAUUUUGGACGUCUUCGCCAUGCAUGCACUUAUCUGUAAAUUACGAUUUGAUGAUUUAAUAUGUAUAGUGGUAGAAAAAAUUCAACAAGACGCUCUAUUGAGCGUCUCAACAAGACGCUCUAUUGAGAUUAAGGUUGCGGCCUUUUGUUUACGCGAUUUUUUAGUUUUUGAAAGUAAAUAAAACAGCCAAUGAAAGUAAAUUUUGAAAGAUAUGUAGACCAAAUAACUCAAAAUGUUAUAGCGCUUCUAAAUAUUUGGAAAAUUCAAACUAGGAUCAAAGUUAUCGGUCAGUGAAAAUCGAACUGAAAUCGCGUCGCGAUGUCGUAUUGCGCCCCGUGUACCUGGACCUUAAAACACAAUACAUUAAUCGUAAAAUGACUGAAAUAUGCAGGUUUACAAGCCCGACACCUAGCGGCGAAGUUCAAUUUCCACAUGCACAAGUAUAGUGCCUAUAUAUGUGAUGAAUCAUGAUCGCUGAAGUUGUGUUUCUGUAUUGUUAGGCACUCGAUCUGUUCUGCGCAUCAGUUCUACUUAUAAUAAAGAGGGACACCCAGAUAUAAACACUGCCCAAAUUUUGCGUCUUUCGAACUUUUUUGAAUUGAAACGUAGAGCUUAUAUAUUCAUUUACAAGUAUAGCGAACCAGAAAAGUGUUAGAUAUCAGUUCAGUAUAUCAUAUUUUACAAAUAUAGCAGUUCAAAACGUGAACAAAGUUAGCACAUGCGCACAGGAGUGGACAGCAUCUUUAAGCUAGGGCCGUAGAAAAAGGCAUCCAAAUAGACAGUACCUUGCGAAUAUUAUUGUUGCUAUUUGUGAAGGUUGCCGUUCCAAUUUUGUGAAAUUGAAAAUUGUGAACUUUUGUCGCCUAUUUCAAGCUUCCGGCCUUCCACAUUUACUCACAUAAGAUGACUUUCAGUUUAUAAAGUCAGGUUCAUGGGAAUUAAAACUUUUAAGUUUCAUCAGAAAAAUGAAAAAAAUACGUACAAAAUCGAUGAAAUUGAUACUAAAUAUAAACACCCCGAGUAAACGGCCAUCUUGAAUGCGGCGCUUAAUAGUAAUGACGUAAUUUUUGACAAAAAUGACCUAUAGGUCAUAACAGUAGCCUUAAAAAUAUGGUAAAAGUAGCCUAAGUUUAAAAUCAUGGUAAAAGUAGAUAUAUAACUACUUUGCCUUUGAAUAAAAGUCCUCAAGUUCCAAUUUAAAAGGUCGUAUGCGAGUUCGUAUAUAUUGACUAAAAUGCUUUACCAAGCAUUUUAAUCAAUAUGAACUCAUACGAGUCUUUUAAAUUAGAACUUGAGGACUUUUUUCAAAGGCAAAGUAGUUAUAUAUCCACUUUUACCAUAUUUUAAACUUAGGCUACUGUAAAUUUUGUGAUACCUUUCACGCUCUUUACCGACUUAAUAUAUGUAGAUGCAGGGACCGCGGAGAAAUCUUUUGAUUUGGGGGGGGGGGCUAGCGAACGCCGAAGGCGUGAGCGUUCUGGGGAGCGGGUCCAGGGGGUCAGAGCCCCAGAAAUGCAAUAAAAACUAGUUUCUCUUAAAAAGUUUCUUGAACGAUUCUUAAGAAAGCCAUUAUAUAAGGGUAAAAUUUAUUCCCUUAGUACAUUUUCCUCAUGAAUAGAUUUUUUCUUCGAACUUUAACGCCUUAUUUAAGCGUAAUUUAAAUUGCAUUUUCCUUACUUAUCGUCUCUACCUUUCUUAGAAAUGUUUUUUUUCUGGAAAGUGUUCAAUAAUAAAGGAAUACCGAGUGGUUUUCCGUGCAGGAUUGCGUGAUCGAUGCACGAGGGAUGUCGCAAGACUUUCGGAAAGCGUAAAAAUACUCGAGCCGCAGGCGAGUGUAUUUUUACACUUUCGGAAUGUCGAGCAACAUCCCAAGUGCAUGGAUUACGCUAUCCUGGUUGGAAAACUAUUUGGUAAUUGUUUUAUAAAAUAACUGCAGUGAAACUAUGAUAUUUUGAAAAUCUCGCGAAGGCAUUUUAAUUCCUCGUGCAGGAUAGCCUGGUCCUGCACGGCUAUUGACCAACCAAAUUGCGUGUUUCACUGUAGUUAUUAUAUAACCUGCAUUUUUUCGUGAGAACUUUGUUGGGAGAUAAUUUAGGUUCCAAAGGCAAAGAAUAAUCAAUCACUAGCACACAGUAAGUUAGAACGACGCUUAGCAGUUUUAGCGCCAACAUUUUGUUUGGAACCGAAGCGAAACAUGCGUAUUCACUGUGUCUGAAGCAGAUAUGGAGUUUCAACCGUUAUUUGAAACCGAGUGUGACACCUUGGAUAAUGUUAGGCUCCGAAUUUUAAAUAAAGUGGUCAAAUGCGACUAACAACUCUUGACAUUAUUGCACAGCGUCGUGAAGGUUGAGACCUGUUGUUUGUAAAAGCUAUAUAUGUUUAGCUGGUUGGAAAUGGCCUCUAUAAUUCUGAAACACGCAAAUCAGACAUUUGAUCUUUUUCUGGACUACGCAAAGAAAAGUGCUAUCUGCGCUAUAUUAAAAUCAGAUAUGUAUGAAAAAUUAUUGGGGGGGGGGGCUAAAGCCCCCCCAGCUCCCCCUGCUCCGCGGUCCCUGAGAUGUAGGUUAUUUUGUGACUAACAAUGUGCCCCAGCGACUAUAAUAUAUUCAAUUCAAUAAAAAUUUAAAAGUACCCAACUGCAGGCGCUUCUUAAUUUCCUUACCCUUGACAAAACAACAAAAUUAUAUUUAUACUGGUAAGGGGAAAAAAUUCUACUGGUUUGUAUUAGAAAUUCCUACAAAGCUUCUGCAAAGCGUUUGUUCGUGCCGAGAAGUAAUUGUCCAAUUAUACUGUAGCUGGUGAUUUUCUAGUAGAGCUUGCAGUUGAUAUCAGAGUCCUGCAAAGCUUUAUUCGCAAUAGGCAAUUCCCAUUAUUGACUAAUUUUAAAACUAUGCAAGGAAAUGCAAAUAAAUUACCACAGCUAGAAAGAGCAUAGGCUACUAAAAUGAGUAAAAUAACAAAGUUAUAGCAAUUUCCGCACGCAAUACAAAAGUCAAAAUAUACAAAAUUUAGUAAAUUUGCGAACUUUGCAAGACUACAUUUUUCCGCAUGUUACAACAUUUGGCAACCAAACUUUGCUAUUUUACUAAUUUUAGUACGCUCUUUCAGGUAAUAUAAUUUUUUUGCAAAGAUAAAAAAUUAGUCUACAAUGGGAAUUGUCUAUUAGCAAUUAGUAUAAACCUACUAGUAGGCUAUCAUACUUCGUGCGUUCUGAUUGGCUACGCUACUACUACUAGUAGGCUAUUAGUGCUAUAUUUCCAGUGGUGGCACCAGCAGUGAGGACAUCCCCCCCCUAAAAUAUUUUUCAAACCAAGAAUAUUUAUUAAUGGCCUAAUAAAUAAAUUAAAAUUAACACACAACACUCACACAACAUUCACACAAGAUUAUAACAUGCACAAAAUUACUUAGUGAAUUUAAUAUCAUGGCUAUUGUGCCAAUUAUGUUGUUCUUGAACAACUGUCUGGGUUUUUGCUCUAUUUGGUGCCCUUUUUUUAAAACGCAUCCAGCAUAACAUUCCUAGUCACUUUUUGUCCAGUGAAGGGGGGGGAAAAAAUUGAACAUAAAGGGGGAAGGGCAAAAAAUAGAAUCUAUGGAAUAGUUUGUAAGAUGCAAUAUCAAAAGAAUAAUGUAUACAUACAGUAUACAUACGUUGAACAGUAAUGCCCAAUAUAUUGAACCUAAUCAUCACCGAAGAAUUUGUUUAAAGGGUCAUGAACAGCUGCAUUUACAAAUGCAAGAUUCAAUUGACAGUUGUUGUCCUGCUUUUUAACACAGUGGACCUCUUUGGCAUGUUCUUUUUCUGCAAGUUGUUGAAAGUCACUUCUGCCAUCUCUUCAAUAUAAUGCUUCCACCAGACACAAAUGUAUUUUUUUCAAUUAGUAAAAGUAGGUCUGAUGUGCGAGAUUUUUGUUUGAGGGCCAACAACUUUUCAGGUAUAUAAAGUCUGAAUUAUCUACUUGACUACUUGGCUAUCAUUUUCAAUAUUUACAAUAUUCUAUUCUUUACAGCUGCAAGUAAACUGAGUAUGAGGGCAGGAAUAAUGGUUAUGAAAUUGACUUAGAGUCAUUGAAUUCAGAAUUGGGGUGGGGCUAUGAAAUAUGUUGCCUCAAUAAGGGGAGGGAUGAAAUAUUUUAUUAGAAAAAUAAGGGGUCAUGAAAAUUUUUUGCUUGGUAUAGCAUCUGGUCUCAAUACUAUUUUCUGGCUUUUACCCUUUAUCUCAUACAUAUCAGCACUAAAGUGCUCUGAACACAAACGACUACUUUUCGCAGGAACAGACUUCACUGGUGCAUGUUUAUCCAUCUACUCAACCCAUAUGCUGUACAAUUCUGGAUGCUUCUUUGCACCAGGAAUGCUUAAAUAUGUGAAGGAGAAAUUUCAAUAACAAUACUGAUGCUUUCAUAAAUACAAACAGGCCCACAAAAUACACAGUACAGUAGGUAGGAAAAACGCACAAGGAACAAUGGAAAUAUAAUAUUUGAAUGAAACAAUCUGCAUGCAAAAACCUCAGAAAAGAAGCUAUAGUCGAGAAAAGCUGGUGACACAUGCAGGUGAACAAAACAUGAACUACCGUUUGCUUUACAUUGUCAUUUGCAGAAAAAACUUCUCGAAUGAUAUCUAAGCACAAAAUAAUAUUUCCUUACCAGUGUGAAUACCAAUGUCUUUGUCAAAGGAGUUGUGACAACCAUAAACCGAGCAAUAACGCGGCAUGUUGACAAAUAUAAAGUUGUGCAUAGUUAAUUACAUGCACAGUGUAACGUUAGAAACAGAGGGUAAAUAGUGGACGCGGAGCUCAAAAUCCGCCAUGUUUUUGCGGACACUUUUUGUUUGACGAGAUAUGGGAGCACGAUCUCCAUAUAUAUAUAUAUAGUAGAGUUCAGUGGCUGACACAUACGGUUUAAUUUUUUUUUUUUUUCCGUUUAAAUGUCGAGAUUUUGGUCGACUUUGUUUUUCGCCUUUUUUGAGCCGUUAAUUAAUCGAGUUUUUCGAUUAUAUUUUAAUCUAAAUUUUUGAAUAUGUACACUAGAUGAUGGAAAUGGUUUGCCUCUUUAUUUUUCCAGAUAUUUUACAGAUUUUAACGGCAUUCGAGUUCUUUUGCGUGCAUUUUUAUUCUGCUUUUUAACGUAAACAUUACUAGUUUAGUAACAAUUCGGGAAGCCAUUCUGUGCUUGAAAUUUUGUACAUUUUAAGCCUUGUUUCCUUUUUUUAAUUAGCCAAAUUUUGCUUGUAUAACGACCCCUUACUAUUAUACUGUUUUACGACAUGUUUUUUAACUUUUUAAUUUUAAAACUGACAAAUAAUAGUAUUUUCUCAAGUCAUUCUUGGGAGUUCGCAACACUGAGUAGUUGUCAACAAGGCCGAGGCGAAAUGUCCCCAAAGGCUUGGCCAAAGGAAGCCAUUUAAACGCUCAUUUCGUAGUAAAAAGUUAUAUUUUACAUAAAAUUCAAAUUAAAAAUUCAGUUUUUUUAUGUGGUUUAUACUAAAACAAUUAGACAACUCAGCCUCGAAUAGUCAACUCGGCUUCGCCUCGUUAACUAUUCGCUCAUAGACAACUCGGCUUCGUUGCCUAAUUGUUAAAUAUUCACUUGAAAUCCAUGCGGUUUUAUGUCAUAGUUAAGGCAAAACAAAAUUCAGCAAAAUUCAAAAAACGGCUUUUGAAACAACACGAACAAGUUCCAUACCGCCUUUAAGGCUGGACCAUUUCCGCACUUUAUGGUUUUCUCUUCCACUCUAAAAUUAUUUUGUAUACCUACGAAUCUACGAUGCAAACUUCAGCAUAUUUUACCCUGUCUAACGCGAUACUAUCUUAUACUCGGCAAGGAUUUCUGGCACAAGAAGCAUGCAGUUAAAAACUUUUUCUAGUAUAUUCGCUAAUCAAUGACCAUGCAACUAUAGUAUGCUAACACAACCAUAGCUGAUAGCUACAUUUUUAAUUUUAUAGAAUUAUAUAUUUUUUAAUUACUUUUUCCAAUGUUCACAUGUAUGACAUGCAGGUUCUUGACCUGUUUGUAGAGACCACGUUUUUGACCAAAAGGAAUUUUUCUUUUAGAAUUUCUGAGAUGGCAGAACGUGCAUUCUUUGUUUUGAUUGGUUUUUUUGUGUUACAAAAUUACUGUUACGCGAAUUUCUUUGAAUCGCGGAAAAUUAAGGAGACUACAGCUAGUGG
rnacentral:lncRNA from 1 species